rnacentral:lncRNA from 1 species
CCCCCUCCCCCGAAAAUCAAUUGGUUGCUGCCUUCUGGGUUCGGCAAUGAUGCUGCUUUGAGUCUUGAUUAGGGGUUAAUAAAGUACGUUAAUUUUUUUUAACCAAAAAAAAAUCUGUAAAAUUUAGACAACUAAUAAUUAUCAAAAAUAUCAAUUUUACUCAAAAAUAGUUUCCUCCUUAAAUAUUUACACGAUAAAACUAAUGUCCUAAAUGCAGUUUUGUGUACACUUAACCUACACAUGGCCUACAUUGACUAUCGACUGUGUGUAGGUAAAACAUGAUUUAAACUACAUGUAAACAUUGAGUUUUAUCAAUGGGAACGCAAUUGUGUUUAGUUUACGUGUGAGUUACACAAACACAACACCG